rnacentral:rRNA from 1 species
AGCGAACGCUGGCGGCAGGCUUAACACAUGCAAGUCGAGCGGGCCCUUCGGGGUCAGCGGCAGACGGGUGAGUAACGCGUGGGAACGUGCCCUUCGGUUCGGAAUAACUCAGGGAAACUUGAGCUAAUACCGGAUACGCCCUUAUGGGGAAUGGUUUACUGCCGAAGGAUCGGCCCGCGUCUGAUUAGCUAGUUGGUGAGGUUAUGGCUCACCAAGGCGACGAUCAGUAGCUGGUCUGAGAGGAUGAUCAGCCACACUGGGACUGAGACACGGCCCAGACUCCUACGGUAGGCAGCAGUGGGGAAUAUUGGACAAUGGGGGCAACCCUGAUCCAGCCAUGCCGCGUGAGUGAUGACGGCCUUAGGGUUGUAAAGCUCUUUUCUCCGGGACGAUAAUGACGGUACCGGAGGAAUAAGCCCCGGCUAACUUCGUG